CCUACGAGAGGCUGCAGUGGGGGAUAUUGGACAAUGGGGGGAACCCUGAUCCAGCGACGCCGCGUGAGUGAAGAAGUAUUUCGGUAUGUAAAGCUCUGUCAGCAGGGAAGAAAGCAAUGACGGUACCUGACCAAGAAGCCCCGGAUAACUACGUGCCAGCAGCCGCGGGAAUACGUAGGGGGCAAGCGUUAUCCGGAAUUACUGGGUGUAAAGGGAGCGUAGACGGCUGUGCAAGUCUGGAGUGAAAGGCGGGGGCUCAACCCCCGGACUGCUCUGGAAACUGUAUGGCUGGAGUGCAGGAGAGGUAAGCGGAAUUCGUGGUGUAGCGGUGAAAUGCGUAGAUAUUAGGAUGAACACCAAUGGCGAAGGCGGCUUACUGGACUGUAACUGACGUUGAGGCUCGAAAGCGUGGGGAGCAAACAGGAUUAGAUACCCGAGUAGUC
rnacentral:rRNA from 1 species